UCGCUGUUACUUUCACUUUCUGGGAAACGAUGUCGCAAAGCUGAUACCACGUGACCAGCUGCUUGACGACCUCAUCUUUCCAUGUCCAUUCACUGACAAGGCACAGGCACUGAGGCGAGUCAGGUCAUGGCUGCUUUGAGCGACUGGGACGAACAAUUCGAAGCUAAGUGGCUGAAAAGAUCAAUUGAGGAAAUCAUUGCUGCACUCGACAAACAUCGCAAAAAUGUCAACAUUUCCGAGUGACCGGAAGUUCUGUGGCCAUCGCCACAGGAGGGACAGCAGCUGGUCUGGCCAUAGCCGCGCCCUUCACCCUGGGUGUGACCCUGAUUCCAGCCAUUGUCUUGGGCAUCAUCGCCAGCGUGGGCGCGGGUGUGUCUGUCGGUGCUUCUGUUACAGAAUAUUUCCUCAGGAAGCAUAAUGUCAAAGAGGUACAGACGAAAUGGGAUGAAUUCCGACGUGAG